rnacentral:rRNA from 1 species
UACGUAGGGACCGAGCGUUGUCCGGAUUCAUUGGGCGUAAAGAGCUCGUAGGCGGCUGCUCAAGUCGAAUGUGAAACCUCGAGGCUUAACCUCGAGCCUGCAUUCGAUACUGGGCGGCUAGAGUCUGGUAGGGGGAUCUGGAAUUCCUGGUGUAGCGGUGAAAUGCGCAGAUAUCAGGAGGAACACCGGUGGCGAAGGCGGGUCUCUGGGCCGAUAUUGACGCUGAGGAGCGAAAGCGUGGGGAGCGAACAGG